UGUUUCUUCUCCCCACCCACCGCUUGUGGUGCGGGAACCAGGGACUUAUCAAGACAAAGAACAAAAGUCGUGGGGGAAAGAAGCCAAGAGCCAUCUCCACUCUGGGGUAGGGCCCUUCAGUUUUGCCCCUUUGAAAUUUCAAAUUCCAGUUUGUGGACAAAGUCCUAAGUUUCUCACAAUAUAGGUCCCCAACCACUGACCAAACUCCAGUCCAGGCAGCCAGCAGGCCCAGGGCUGCUUCCUUUGGCAGCUCCCAAGGUCUGGGAGGAAGAGGUCCUGCCCCAGGGGGUCUGUCAGGCCAUUCCUGCAGCUCCAUCCCACCCCACAGGGACCCUUGCCUCGCACUUGAGAGGAGCCCUCUUCCUGGAGCUGGGAUCUGAUGCUUGUUGGCACCGACAGCAGAUACCAGGCAUCAGGCCAUAGAGAAAGAUGCAGAGCCCUACGCUGACAAUCCCUCUGUGCCUCCGUUUUCUCACCUGCACAUGGCAGGAUUACACUUUCUUGCCUCCUUGUGACCAUGUGACUUGUUUUGGCCAAUGAAAUGUGAACAGAGGCCAGCUGUGUCACACCUGAGCAGAAGGUUUAAGAGCCAGUACUUAGGUUGCUGUGGAAGCACAUACAGAUAUGGAGUCACCAGGAAGAGAAGAGCCCCCUGCCAGCCCAUGCCAGAUAUAAAAGUGGCUGAGAUUGUCAGAUGUUUGGAGGCAACACAGUAUAGAGGUGAGAGCACAAAUUCUGGAACCUGACUUUCUGGGCUUGAAUUCUGGUUCUGCCAUGGACUAGCUCUGUGACCUUGGCCCCAGAAGACAAACCAGGACCAACAAAUGGAUGCUACAAGAAUUUACUAGGUCCCAGGUUCUGUGCUGAAUAUAUGACACCAUGAAGAAGAUGCUGUUUAUGAUGAUGCCAGAUUUAGACAGGGGAAGACCAGGCUCAGAAAGGUGGAGUAAAUUGCCUAAGAUGACACUGCGGGGCUUGAACCCAAGUCUGUGUUUGAUACAAGACUCUAGAUGGCCCCCACUGGCUCCACUCCCUACCACCUCACCACACUGAAGAACCAGCCUGGAGGCCAAGGCAUCUGGUGGUUUUCAAGGUGAGGCUCCUCCAAAGGGCCUGGGGCUAUGGGGUGGACAGCAUCCUGCACCUCCACACUCCCCCCUCCCCCCACCUCCAUUGUUUCAUUCCUGUGAACUGGCUUCCGGUGAGAUUUUGUUUGAAGAAAGAAUGCCACUUUCAUUUUACUUUUAACACAAUGCAGACGGAUCACGGAUCACGAGAA